rnacentral:misc_RNA from 1 species
GGGCCCGCUCUGGGCCCAACCUCCCACCCGUGUCUCUUGCGUACUUUGUUGCUUUGGCGGGCCCACUGGGUCACUCCGGUCGCCGGGGAGCGCUAUGCUCCCGGGCCCGUGCCCGCCAGAGCACCCCUGUGAACCCUGAUGAAGAGAGGCUGUCUGAGUCCCACGAUAAUCGUUAAAACUUUCAACAAUGGAUCUCUUGGUUCCGGCAUCGAUGAAGAACGCAGCGAAAUGCGAUAAGUAAUGUGAAUUGCAGAAUUCCGUGAAUCAUCGAAUCUUUGAACGCACAUUGCGCCCCCUGGCAUUCCGGGGGGCAUGCCUGUCCGAGCGUCAUUUCUGCCCUCAAGCGCGGCUUGUGUGUUGGGCGUGGUCCCCCUGGCUUUGGCGGGGACCUGCCCGAAAGGCAGCGGCGACGUCCCGCCUAGUCCUCGAGCGUAUGGGGCUCUGUCACGCGCUCGGGAGGGACUGGUGGGCGUUGGUCACCCCUUAUUCUUUCCACGGUUGACCUCG